rnacentral:lncRNA from 1 species
CCACCGUGCCUAGCCUGAAUGUGUUUUUAAUGUAUGAAGGUAAGGGCCAGUGGGAAAUCUUCCCUUUUAACCCCUGACAUUUCCAUGAAAACGCGACUCAGAAAAGGCAGAUUAACUGGAGAAAAGGCGCAGAGAUGUAUUAAUGUGUCCACAGGGGAAAACGCAGAGCGAUAUCCCGCACCCUGCAGCGGGGUUCAGACGCUUAGGGACCAUCCUGGCCACACAGGCCAUGAGGGGAGAAGAGGAUUCUGAGGGCAGUGGAGCAGGGAGCGGAGAUUAACUUGUAGAUAGUUCUCUUUGGAAUGUGAAUGGGCCUGAGGGACAGACAUUAUUAUCUUGUGA